rnacentral:rRNA from 1 species
UACGGAGGAUGCAAGCGUUAUCCGGAAUGAUUGGGCGUAAAGCGUCUGCAGGUGGCUGUGUAAGUCUGCUGUUAAAGCGUGAGGCUCAACCUCAUAAAGGCAGUGGAAACUACAUGGCUAGAGUGCGUUCGGGGCAGAGGGAAUUCCUGGUGUAGCGGUGAAAUGCGUAGAGAUCAGGAAGAACACCGGUGGCGAAAGCGCUCUGCUGGGCCGCAACUGACACUGAGAGACGAAAGCUAGGGGAGCGAAUGGG